rnacentral:rRNA from 1 species
AGUGAACGCUGGCGGUAGGCCUAACACAUGCAAGUCGAACGGCAGCACAGUAAGAGCUUGCUCUUACGGGUGGCGAGUGUCGGACGGUUGAGGAAUACAUCGGAAUCUACUUUUUCUUGGGUGAUAACGUAGGGAAACUUACGCUAAUACCGCAUACGACCUACGUGUGAAAUCAUGGGAUCUUCUUACCUUGCUCGAUUGAAUGAUCCGAUGUCGGUUUAGCUAGUUGGCGGGGUAAAGGCCCACCAAGGCGACGAUCCGUAGCUGGUCUGAGAGGAUGAUCAGCAAAACUGGAAAUGAGACACGGAACAGAGACCAAGGGGAGGCAGAAGUGGGAAUAUUGGACAAUGGGCGAAAGCAUGAUACAGCAAUACCGAGUGGGUGAAGAAGGCAUUCGGGUUGUAAAGCCGUUUUGUUGGGAAAGAAAAGAAGAAGGUGAAUACACCGAUGUUAUGACGGUAACCAAAGAAUAAGCAACGGCUAACUUCGUG